CGCGCAUUUAAAGCGAUAGCCAUCCUCGCUCUCUCCCCAGUGCUGGGCUGUUGGAGAGCUCGAGCUGCAAGCCACCGAGCGCGAGCUCGAGCGCGGCGCGCUGGCCGGGGAACCCAAGAGCGCACGGCGCCCCAAGCUGGCAGGCGCUGCGGGACCCCCCACCCUCGCCGGCUGCCCUUCCCCGGGCGCCCCUACCCUCCUCGCCCGCAGAAGACCCUGGGCUUCCCCGGAGGAGCUCACCCCAAGGGGCCAGGACUCCGGAGAGCCCGCCACCGUCCCCUCGAGUGCCGCCGCCACCACCGCAGCCGCGGGAGCAGCAUGGUCCGCUGGGGAAGCUGCUCCGCGCCCUGACUUUGAUGAAGUUUCCCUGCUGCGUGCUGGAGGUGCUUCUGUGCGCGCUGGCGGCGGCGGCGGCGCGCAGCCAGGAGAUGUACGCCCCGCACUCCAUUCGCAUCGAGGGGGACGUCACCCUCGGGGGUCUGUUCCCGGUGCACGCGAAGGGUCCCAGCGGAGUGCCCUGCGGCGACAUCAAGAGGGAGAACGGGAUCCACAGGCUGGAAGCGAUGCUCUACGCCCUGGACCAGAUCAACAGCGAUCCCAACCUGCUGCCCAACGUGACGCUGGGAGCGCGGAUCCUGGACACUUGUUCCAGGGACACUUAUGCGCUCGAACAGUCGCUCACUUUCGUCCAGGCGCUCAUCCAGAAGGACACCUCCGAAGUGUGCUGCACCAACGGCGAGCCUCCGGUUUUCGUCAAGCCCGAGAAAGUAGUUGGAGUGAUUGGGGCUUCGGAGAGUUCGGUCUCCAUCAUGGUAGCCAACAUCCUGAGGCUUUUCCAGGUUGAUGGGCGCUACGGGAUAAGGAAAAGGAUGUGAAGCUCACUGAAGAGGCUUGGGUUGGGAGUGCUGGAGGAGUGUACAGGUGGGGAAAAUGUACCAGCGUGUAUGCCUACUGGGACCACGUUUUCCAGAACAGUUAAGCCCAGUGUCAACUAUGCUGUCCCACCUUCCUCAUGGAAAACAGUCGGGCGACCUCGGGUUGGCCAACUGCACCCCUCUCUUGGAUUUUGAAUUACAAAUAAAUGAUGUAAAGAAGCAAGGCCAGCAGUGCUGGGUCAACCUCCUGUUUCCUGUUCCUGCUUGGUAGCAAGGCCAGCUAGGACUUAUAACAUCACUUUGGCCUGAUCCUAUAAUUGCAAUAGCAUAGCCUUGGCUUUCGGUUGUUUCGUCUGCUUCUAGUUACUGAGGCCUAACCAUAAACUUCCAAAAGUUUCCUUUUCUGCUCAAAUUAGCCGUAUCUGGUUCCUGAUGAUUACAAAUAAGACCUUUCCUGAUAUACAAUGGUGACCUACUUAUCCAGGCAGACGUAACAUCGUCCUGGCAGGGACAGAGGGCAGGCAAGUUCCUUGAACAGCUGAACAAGAAGAAAAAGACCUAAGAAGGAAGAAUUGAAGCCAGUUCUGCUUGUGUUAUAAUUCUACCCGCAGCUGCCUCUGUUUCACAGACCACGUGCUAAGGACCAGACAAGCAAAGUAGACCCAGGGCUUCCAACCCAGAGAC